rnacentral:rRNA from 1 species
CCUACGGGUGGCAGCAGUGAGGAAUAUUGGUCAAUGGGCGCUAGCCUGAACCAGCCAAGUAGCGUGAAGGAUGACUGCCCUGUGGGUUGUAAACUUCUUUUAUAUGGGAAUAAAGUGCAGUACGUGUACUCCGUUGCAUGUACCUUAUGAAUAAGCAUCGGCUAACUCCGUGCCAGCAGCCGCGGUAAUACGGAGGAUCCGGGCGUUAUCCGGAUUUAUUGGGUUUAAAGGGAGCGUAGGCGGGUUGUUAAGUCAGUUGUGAAAGUUUGCGGCUCAACCGUAAAAUUGCAGUUGAAACUGGCAUCCUUGAGUACAGUAGAGGUAGGCGGAAUGCGUGGUGUAGCGGUGAAAUGCUUAGAUAUCACGAAGAACUCCGAUUGCGAAGGCAGCCUGCUGGCCUGUAACUGACGCUGAUGCACGAAAGUGUGGGUAGCGAACAGGAUUAGAUACCCGAGUAGUC